UACAGAGGUCUCAAGCGUUGUUCGGAAUCACUGGGCGUAAAGGGUGUGUAGGCGGCGUGGAAAGUCAGAUGUGAAAUCCGGGGGCUCAACCCCCGAAUAGCAUCCGAUACUGCCAUGCUGGAGGUCUGUAGAGGAGUCUGGAAUUCUCGGUGUAGCAGUGAAAUGCGUAGAUAUCGAGAGGAACACUUAUAGCGAAAGCAAGACUCUGGGCAGAAACUGACGCUGAAACACGAAGGCCAGGGUGGCGAACGGG
rnacentral:rRNA from 1 species